rnacentral:rRNA from 1 species
UACAGAGGUCUCAAGCGUUCGUUCGGAUUCAUUGGGCGUAAAGGGCUCGUAGGCGGUCUGUUGCGUCGGGAGUGAAACUUACAGCUUAACUGUGAGCGUGCUUUCGAUACGGGCAGACGUUGAGGCAUUCGAGGGGAGAACGGAAUUCCUGGUGUAGCGGUGAAAUGCGCAGAUAUCAGGAGGAACACCGGUGGCGAAGGCGGUUCUCUGGGAAUGUCC